GGAUUGCACCCAGAGGCACUCAACUACACCCCAGCCCUUUUGAUUUUAUGUCAAGGGCUAAGGUGCUGAGGCUGGCCUCAAACUUUGCAUCCUCCUGCCUUAGCCUCCUGAGUAACUGGGAUGAUUGACGUGCAGCACCAGGCCCGGCCAAGGUUUGGUUUAAUAAUCAAGUUCUCUUGGGACACAGCUACAUGCCUUGACCUACUCCUGUCGUCUGUGGCCACUUUCACAGCAGAAUCGAGGUGUUGCCUCAUCUGUGAAGCCUCAAGAGACACACCCUUCCCUUUGACGGAGCCACCAAUCAGCUCACAUAAUCCUGCAAUGCGUGUCUGGUCAUUGGAGAUAAGGAAACUGGGGCUGAGAGAGGACGCACCUGGCUCCAAUUCAUGUAAAGUAAGCAGCCGAAGCGGCACCCGUUGAAGCUCUUGACCUUGACCUCCAGCCUGUGAGGCGCAGACCACCCAGUGCCUCUGCCCCCUCACUGAGUGGCAGUUUUCAGCGGACACAACAUCUUUGUAUGUGGUGCUGAGGAUCGAACCCGGGCCGCACGCAUGCCAGGCAAGCACACUACCGCUUGAGCCACAUCCCCAGCCCCCAGACUCGCUUUUGACAGGAGCAAGUAUCACUCAGAAGAUUGCGGCUCAAGUCGUCGUCUGGGUGAUGGCCAUGAAACCACAUCUCACCACACCUGGCACUUGUCACAAGUCCCCAGGGAGCCGGUUUCUGCUUCAAGGAAUAGACACUAGAAAAGACAGCCUUGCCUUCCAAAAUCAAAGCGAUGCUAUUUAACAGAAGAGAAAUGUUGGAGAAAGACCAGCAGUCCCAUGCCACAGGAAUCUGUCCCUCGAUGAGAUGUGAUUCAGAAGCGAGGGUCGUAUUCAUGUUUGUGGAAGUUGGUGAAAAUGGAAGAAUCCAGGGUGGAAGAAUCCGUGAGCAGCCCAAACCAGUGGGGCCUGGCGUGACCUCAGCCUUGAACUGAUUUGAAGCAUGGUCCUUGCAAAGGCCUGGAUUAAAGAAAUGUAGCUCCACCAAUCAGAAACGGCCAACAGCCCAGAAUCCCAACGGUUCGGGAGGCUGAGGCAGGAGGAUCGCAAGUUCAAAGGCAGCCUCAGCAACUUAGCAAGACCCCGAGCAACUCAGCGAGGCCCUGUCUCUAAACAAAAUAUAAAAAGGGACAGGGGACCUGGCUCAGUGGUCAAAUGUCCCUGGGUUCAAGCCAAUGACACAUAAGGCACCAUACAGCCAAUGAAAAGGAAAAGAGUCUUCCACAGAGUGGAAGACAGAACCAGGGUCGCUCUCGUGCUAGGCAAGCCCCUGAGCCACCUCAGAGACCUUUCUGUACUCUUUCUGUGCCUGUUGGUGAUGAGCCUGCCACCAGGUCUCCUCAGUGGGGCUCCUGAACCGCUUCUGACUGGAGCUGCCUAGUUCAUGAAUUAUCAUUUGCACAAAUAAAACUCUUUAAAAUAUUA